rnacentral:tRNA from 1 species
AAAAAGGUAAGCUAAGAUAUAAGCUAAUGGGUUCAUACCCCGUAAAUAGGAUUGUCCUCCUUUUUA